rnacentral:rRNA from 1 species
GACGAACGCUGGCGGCGUGCUUAACACAUGCAAGUCGAACGGCAAGGCCCUGCUUUUGUGGGGUGCUCGAGUGGCGAACGGGUGAGUAACACGUGAGUAACCUGCCCUUGACUUUGGGAUAACUUCAGGAAACUGGGGCUAAUACCGGAUAGGAGCUCCUGCUGCAUGGUGGGGGUUGGAAAGUUUCGGCGGGUGGGGAUGGACUCGCGGCUUAUCAGCUUGUUGGUGGGGUAGUGGCUUACCAAGGCUUUGACGGGUAGCCGGCCUGAGAGGGUGACCGGCGACAAUAGGACUACGAGACGGACCAGUCUGCUACGGGGGACAGCAGUGGGAAGUAUUACACAGUGAGCGGGAGCGUGGUACGGCGGCGCCGCGUGCGGAAUGACGGCCUUCGGGGUGUGAACCGCUUUCGCCUGAGACGAAGCGUGAGUGACGGUAAUGGAUAAAGAAGCACCGGCUAACUACGUG